CCAUACUUCAUUCACUUUCAAACUAACUAUCUCCGGCUCUGAAGGAAGGCUAGCUAUAUGGCACUAAACUUCCCUUUCCGACCUUAAUGGAAUUGCAGCUCAGCUUCCUUUCGUACAGCAUCCCUUUUGUUUACGGCAACACCUCUGAUCUUAGCGCCAACCUUGCCUCGACUUGAAGAAUCGAUUGCAGAUUACUUACUUUAUACUCCUG
rnacentral:lncRNA from 1 species